GCAGGGGGCUGUCAUCUGCUCAGAAUAUAGGACUCGCACCCCAAAACACAGGGCACUCCCCCUACCCCGUGCCAUCCCAACUCUAGCCCCCACAUUAGGCUCAGGCCACUGAUAAUGCAGGGUCCACACAGCCCCAAAUGUGGAUUCUCCUUGACCUUGAGAAGCACUGAAUCCACCCCAACCUACGCCAAGGUCAUCAGCCUGACCCUGAGCAACAUGAAGAACUACAGGGACCACUUUGAGCAGUUGAACCAGCUUCACCACAGUGAAUGGAAUUAUUUUGAUAGUCACCUAAAGGACCUGCAUGACCGCUUCCUGAGGGAAGUGAAGAACACUGAGAAGAAAGCAGCAGAUGAAAGACAGGCCAGUCACACGAUCAUCCUGCCCUCCUCCUCCCACUCCUGCACUGAGGGGCUGCUUGAAAAGGAACACAGAAGAAACUGUGGCAGAGAAAUUGCCUUUCUCCUAAGACAGACAGAGACCAACAAGAAGCCAAAAGCUCUGCAAAAAAAGGGACCCCUCAUCUUCAGCCUCUUGCCAUCCCCCUUGCAUGAAUGAAUCUUGUCCAAGAACUGGGAGAAACUUCAGAGGGGAAGCUCGCAUGUUGUUGGAGUUCAUCUAAAAACAACCAAACAAUCAAAAAUACUGCAAGCGGGGAUUCCCCAUCCAUGGGAAAAAGAAUAUUAAAGUUCACUUCAACUGUGGGCCAAAGACAGGAUUUAAGCACCUGGUUAUUCUUUUAUUCACUCCCUUAUGAAUCAUGAUGUGAUAGCCAACCUGUCUCCAUUUUGUGCCUCAUCACCAUUCCCCCUCCCCCCUUGGGAGUCCUCUCUGUUGAUGCUUGACAGACCACUGCACCCCAUUUGGUAGAGCAGUCUGCAGCUAUAUGUUAUCUUUAUGACCUUGUGAAGAGAAUACUCUGCACCUAUGUGAUAUUUUGUUUCAACUAAAUUCUGUGAAACUUCCCCUGACCCUCACUAAUUUAGCAAAGCUCUGCUUCUGUAAAAUUCUGCUUGUGUUCCCCCUCUCCCAGAGCCGUCCCCAACUAGAAGAGCCACUAAAAAAGAAACCUGCAAGCUGCUUUUCGGGGUCAAGAGAUUCUGAGUGCUAGCUCCUCUCAACCGCCAGCAAUAAAGGACUCAAAUUUGGCUCAGAGUGUUGGUGAUUCCCUAUAAUCUCUCUUGAUUGAAUAUAACAAUGACACUGUAAUAUAUAUCAUUAAGUAACAUAAAAGUAACCAAGGGAGACCUCAUUACUUUAUUGAGUAUUUAUGUGCUGGGUGCCCUGCUGAGCCUUCUAUGUUUAUAGCUACAAGCUGUCCAGCCCCACCCCCAGGUGGGUAUUGUCACCUCCAUUUUCCCAGGAAGCACUGGGGCUUGCAGAAAUAAAGAUGCUGUGUUAGCUUUGUGUGGCUGUGACAAAAUACUGGGGAAAAUCAGUUUAGGAGAUGGAAGGCUUAUUCUGGCUCACUGUUUCAGUCCCUCGUCACCUGCUCCAUGGCUCUUUGACCCAUGUAGGAGCAGAAACAUCAUAGCAGUGCAGGGG
rnacentral:lncRNA from 1 species